rnacentral:rRNA from 1 species
GGCCUAACACAUGCAAGUCGAACGAGAAAAGGGCUUCGGCUCCUAGUAAAGUGGCGGAUGGGCGAGUAACACGUGGAUAACCUACCUCACCGCGGGGGAUAACUGUCCGAAAGGAUAGCUAAUACCGCGUAAGUCCACCUGGGCUCCGGCCUGGGUGGGGAAAGCAGCCCUCUCCAUGGAAGGUUGCACGGUGAGAUGGGUCCGCGUCCCAUCAGCUAGUUGGUGAGGUAAUGGCUCACCAAGGCUUAGACGGGUAGCUGGUCUGAGAGGAUGAUCAGCCACACUGGAACUGAGACACGGUCCAGACUCCUACGGGAGGCAGCAGUGGGGAAUAUUGGGCAAUGGGCGCAAGCCUGACCCAGCCACGCCGCGUGAGUGAUGAAGGCCUUCGGGUCGUAAAGCUCUGUGGGGAGGGACGAAAAAACGCUGGCCAACAUCCAGCGGACUGACGGUACCUCCUUAGCAAGCACCGGCUAACUCUGUGCCAGCAGCCGCGGUAAUACAGAGGGUGCAAACGUUGCUCGGAAUCAUUGGGCGUAAAGCGCACGUAGGCGGCCCAGCAAGUGGGGAGUGAAAGCCCUCGGCUUAACCGAGGAAGUGCUUUCCAUACUACUGGGCUUGAAUACUGGAGAGGGUCGCGGAAUUCCCGGUGUAGAGGUGAAAUUCGUAGAUAUCGGGAGGAACACCAGUGGCGAAGGCGGCGACCUGGACAGAUAUUGACGCUGAGGUGCGAAAGCGUGGGGA